CCCCAUGCCAGUCUCCCUUGACAGCUCUCUCCACUCAUUUUCAGACCAGCUCAAGAGACUGUCCUGCUCUACCCAGAAAGUCUCAUCAUGAUCUUCAGGGCUAAUCUGAUCAGUCUUGCCAGCAUGCGACCUCCUGCUCAGCUUCUCCUCCUCCUCCUGCUUCUCCAGUAUCCAGGAAAAGAAGAGGCCUGGAGAAAUCAACAAGUUUCCCGAAAACUGCACAUCUCAAUAAAGACAGGAUCAGCACUGUCAUCUAGGGAUCCUUAUUCCACACACCAAAGAGACACAAGAACUGCAAUGAAAUUGAAACCCAAGCUCCAGAGUGGGGAAGCAUUCCAUAAA